AGACAAGUAUAUUUUAAAUGCAAGCUAAACCAGUUAGGGCUGAUGCAGUAUUUGCUGGAAGCAAUGGAAAGUAUUGAGCAAAAGGAACUAGAUUUUGUGGCUGAUCUUGGACGUUGCUGAAUGGCAUAUAGUAGGGUACAGUUGGAUAAAAAAUUAGAGAAAUGAAAGUGCUCAAAAUGUGUCCACUUUCUUUGGAAGGAUUUUAGUUGUUUUUGUCUACCACCUCUCUGGGUUUAAUUAUAGUCAGUGCUUGGUUAUGGCAUGGGAGAAAAAUGAAGAAUUAUUUCUGGAUGGAUUUUGAGGAUAACAUGAUGAUGCGUGGUAAUAAACAUCACCUGUGAGUUUCUGUUCAUUAAAUCCCACUAAGGUACAGUCUUUUACAGUGUUUCAAAAUGAAUGCUUGCAUUCACUCAUUCACUCACUCAUUCAUCGGUCUAUACUGAAUCUUCACUCGCUGGACAGCCUUCUGGGUGUUGGAGAUACAGCAGUGAACUAAACCUAACUACUUCCCUCAUGGAACUUACUCAGUAGUGGGGAGAGAUGGACACUGAAUAAAUGCAUAUGCAAAGCAGAAUUUCAGAUGCUGGUAAGAGCAAGGGAGAAACACGGAGCAGGGAAGGGAGAAGGGGCUCCUUUUUGCGUGCUACUUCAAGUAUUUGUGAUCCUCCCUUUGACUCCAGAUGCUCCUGCCAAGACCAGUCCCAGCAGACUUUGGCCAGCUCUGUGCGGCUCUGGGGCUUCCCUACGCUGAGCCUGGGACACUCCAUGGAAACCAGCUCUAUAUUCAGACAUGCAUAACCCCAAAGUGCAGGCAGGAGGGGGUCAAUCAAUGCUUCUCGUUUUUGUCCCCUGGAGCUUUAGUUCUGAUAUGUAUUUCCUAAGCUUUCCUCAAAGGCACCGAGAAGGAUCAGUCAUCUCAGCGAGACAGCAGCUGGGUUGCACAUCCUUGAUGGCCCUUCCCUCAUUGCCUCUUUCACUCACCUGGUCCUGCCCUUCUGCUCCCUGGGAUUGAAUUCUCAAAUAACUCCCUGCAUGUAAGCCUUUGUUCAGGCUCUGCUUUGGGGGAUCCCAUGGUAGAUGGAGAAUGCAGCGGUUGGAAUGGUGUUGUAAGUACAAAUGGGGUUUCCAGGGAAGGCAUCGCUAAGAAGGCGUUUUUGAGAAAAGACCUGAAGAAGGGAGGUAGGAAUCAUGCAGGUAACUGGGGGGACAGCGUUCCAGAUUCUGGGGAUGACAGCAAGGACAGGAAUGGGCAAGAGAGAGUGAGGAGUAAAAGGAGAUGCAGCCAGAGGGAUGACAGAGACCCAGAUUCCAUCCCAUGGCACCAUUGUUAGGAUCUGGGUUUCAACCCAAGUGAGAUAACCAAUUUAUUCUCAGAAAUUCUGCCUGCUUUGCCCCUUUCAUAUUUUAUUUUUAAUUUUAUGUUUGUAUGAUACACUUGGAUCCUCAUUUUCUGGGCAGGUACAUUGAAUCUUUUAAAAGUGAGCUUCACUUGGUGAAAGCUGCAUAUUCCUAUUCUCAGCUUUCUUGUGUUGCUACCGAAGUGGUGACUUCUUUGAGGACAGUGCUGCAGGUGUUAUUGUACUGGAUCCAUGCAUGUUGAACCUAGAGUGUCAUUCCUAACUCCAUCUAGUGAGCAGAUACUUACUGAGUGCUGCUCUGUGCAUGACCCUGUGAGACAGUAGGAAGAUGUUUAAGACUCUAAGGAGCUGAGAAUGUGAUAAUGCCUGAUGGCAUCUGAAUCAGCCGGUGAUCCUGAAAGUCUGCUAAUUAAAUAUGCCAUGUUCAUUUUUUUCCCUUGUACAUCAUUUUCUUUAAUUUUGCUUCUUUUCCCCUCCCCCUUUUGCUUUUAUGGGAAGAACUUCUAUACAUGAAACCAUAUUCCUACUUAUUUCAAAUGUCAUAAAUCCUAUUGCUGUUUUCAACUGUCUUACAUUUCUUCUCUAAUUUAUCCCUACUGACUAGAGAUGUAAUUCUUUGGAGUAUUUUGACAAGGAGAGAGAGAAAGAGGAGAGCUAACUAUAGAGUGGGAAUUCUUCUUCAAUGGAGAGAAAUGAGUAACUGGCCAUGACUGAAGAAUUUGGAAAUUAAAGGAAUAAUGUAGAUUUGUGCUCAACUAACUCUUCUACUUCCUAUGCUCAUUUGAUGUGUCAGGGGUGAGAGGCGUUCUCUAAGCGGUGGACAUGUCCCAUGAAUGCCUUCUUCUUGCUCCAAAGAGAGUCUCCCUUGUCGCUUUAGAUGUUCUCUGGCCUUACCCUAUCUUGGCGUUGGCUCUCUGGUCUGUACUGUUUAGUAUUGCACCCUUUAUUGUGCAGAGAUCCUUUGUGUUGUGUCAUGUGAUUUUUGUUUUUAAGGGCUUCUCUUCCUUCUUGAACCGUCUUGGGGGCGGGAUCCUCCCUCUCCUCCCCUGGAACCUGGGGAUCGGCAGCAGUCACACAUCUGAGCAUGCGUAGGAUUUCCCGUCUCCCGGAAGUUCCUCAUUAUUAACGCCAAUCACAUGCAUAGUAGCAUGUGCCUUGCCACUUCCUUUACUUUCUGAGAAGUGAAAUGGUAAGGAAGGCAAGUUAAAUGCAGACAUUUAUCAGAUGACCUCCUUUCAGAUGGAAAUAUCCAAUAUUUCUAGAUAACUGAAAUCUCUCCUUCCAUAACUUGCCAGUGUGCCAAUUUUAUGAUCAGUUUCAAGAGUAACUAAUUUCUUCAGCAUACUUCUAUUGCUGUGCCUCCUUUGGUCCUCCCUGUCUAUACUAUACGCACCUAUAUGUGUUUUACCAUUACCUAGAUUUCGCUACUAAAAUUUUAUUCUUGUAUUGACAGAUUUCCCCAAAGGUUAGAGUGACCGUAUGUCCCAGUUUACCUGAAACAGUGCUGGUUUAUCUGUUGUUCCUCUGGUAACUAAUAAUUAAUACCUCCCCUUUUGUUUUCAAAAGUGUGCUAAUUUGGACUGUAAAUUAUGGGAUUACCCUAUCAAAGUUGUUUUUUCUUCCCCUCACAUCCUGCAUGCUCUCUCAAAGCCUGAAUCCUAAAUUGGAAAUAACGUAACAUAACAACAUCUGUGCCCCCUGGACCUUUAAUUUCCUGACCCGCACUUCCAGCCUGUGAGGAUUUUCCCUGUCACAUGCUCCUGGCAAUGUCAAGUCCACAUGUGGCUGGACUGUGCCAUCCACCUGACGGGUUUUUUUUUUUUCUUCCUGGGUCUUUGACCCCUUCGUUUCAAUGUGCUGCUUCCUCUGGCUCUUCCUGUAGGAUGUGUUGUUUUGGCUGACCCUCAUCAGGUCAUGGUUGAUGGUCUGUGGGAGGAUGGGCUAUACCUUUGGUACAGGUGAACUGAUUCUGAGUCCCCUCUCUUCCUGGUCCUCUUCUUUUUCACCAGCCCGUAUCCUGAGAAUCUUUGAUAUCUGGAAUUGUUAGUUUCUUCCUGGAACACUUUGCUUUGUGUAACCAGCAGGCAUGCAGAAAAGAGUUGGCUCCACCUUUUCCACCUGUUCUUCAGACAGAGAGGCCAGCUUGGCAAAAUAGUGGCCUCCAGUAGAGAAAAAGAAACCUAGCAAGUUUCCGCAGGCCAUAGAAACAAUCCUCGCUGCUUCCCUACUUUUUGGAAAACAAGAUUCUUCCCCCUUUUAACUCAACAAGGGAUAACGUCCACCAUAGCUUUUCUUCUUGAAGAAGGACAGCAUGGGGAGAAUGAAGGGUGAAGAGAAACCAGCAUUACAAGUAGCUCAAGUUUGUAGGCUGACCCACUGGGGACUCCCAAGAAGCUCCCUGCCGCAUCCCUUGGAAUACGGGCGACUGAGAGAGCAGAACACCUGCGUGAAAUCAGCUGAUGACGGUCGUGUAGAGAGAACUUUUCCAUUUGGAGGAGCAAGACAUGCAACUCAGGGGAGCCGGGUCCUCUGUCCCGUGGGACACAGAAUGCCAAAGUCCUGCUCACCUGUGGUUCCCAGGAAGCAACAGCAUUUCAUCACCCAGACUAUGUGGCAACCAACUGGAAUCCUUGAAUGACCCUUCCAUGGAAACAAGCUUGACACUGUGUUCAGGGCUUCCAUCUGGUGUGGCUCGGGGCUUGGCACAUAGGAAGACCGGAUGAAACUGGAAUGUGGAUGUAUUAGUGUUGCCACCACCAGCGGCUGGCACUCUCCAAAGGAUUUGUUUCAUUAUAUCACAAACAGGGAAAAAUAUCUUAUUGAAAGGGAAUGUGAGAAGAUGCAACAUCUAAUGAAUGGAAAUCUGAACUAGAAUCUACCAAUAGAUUUUGCAUCUAACUUUUUCUGCAGCUGUGGAUGACUCAUUCUAGUGUCUCAGUUUCUCCACCCUUAGAAUGAGAGUAAUAAAAUUUGCCGUUAAUUAAAGUCUCUAUUUUUUUUUAACUGUUUGGGAAGUUGGGUCCAAUGGAAAAAUGAAAUACUUGAGGAUAUGACUUAGCCUGUGCUAGGAAUUUUAUAGGCAGUUCACCAAGGAUUUUUUUCCAAGUGAUUUGCACGAUACACAAAAUGUAUUUUAAGCUGAAUGCCUUGGACUGAAAGCCAUGCACAAUAACCUGUCCCAAAAGCAAUUAUCACAUCAAGACACACCCAUUGGGAUUCAACGCUCCUAUUUAAAGUCUGUCCAGACAUCACAGCCCACAUGUAUAAUGGCUUUGGCAGAAGAGUGAGAGCCAGCAUCGGCGGGAGCCUUGUUUAACUGAGCAGGAAAUGGACGUUUUCCGAACCAAAAGUUUGAAAGCUGAGAAAUACCUAUUUUGUGAGCAGAAUUUACGGCCUCAUUCCUACAAGAAGAAGAAGUAAAAGCAAACGGACGACAUUUAAUUCCAUAAAGAAGUCACAGCUCUGGAGCCUGUUUUCCAAUGGGACCUGAGGGUGUUUGUGGAACAAAUGAGCAUCUAAAAAUAUUUCGAUCUCUUUAGAUCCCUGAGAUUUCAAAUAUAACAUUCAAUUCAGGCGCUGAUUUUUCAAGAGGUCUUUGCUUCCUCCUCUUGUUUUCUGGGUUAGAAGCUCCUUUGUGAAUGCUGGUUACUGGGUUUCCAUAUUGUUUUGGAAUUGUCCUCUUUGCCAUUAGAUUGUGAGUUAUUGAUGGAUGACCAUGGAUGCUGCUUAUUCAUCUUUGUUCCUGUUGUAAUCAGCACAAUUUGAACAAGAAUCAAUCUUGUUCAAGAGUGGGACCUAAUUAAACUUACAAGCCUUUGCACGGCAAAGGAAACCAUAAGUAAAACAAAAAGAC